UGAAGGCUUCCAGCUAAAGUGAAAGUAAACAAAUAGAAUGACUCAUUCUCAGCAAGAUGUCACAUGAUUUCAGUGAAACCACUGCUUUUCUAACAUUUCAUCUGUGAUUACACAGACGGAAGGAACAAGGAAAUACAUUGAAAAAUAAAGAAGAUGGUGGCAAAAACCAUGAUGUUCCUCACACUGGGAAAGGGGGGCCUGACCUUGCUUGCUACAGGGUCUGCAGUGUGGGUCGCUGGGAUUGUAUUGGUUGCUGGCUUGAGUCGAUAUCUAUACAUCAAGAAGAAGAUCAGAACAAGCCUGAUGAAAAAGAAGAAUAAAAAGCAUUGACAGGAAUCCUUUCCAAUCCCCUAGCCAGACAUGGGAGGCCCACCUUGCUGAAGAACUUUAUGAAGCAACUUGGUAUACAUGGUUUAUAUUUUGAGUAUGAACAAAGUAAACUUUUGGGCAAAAUAAAAAUUAAUCGAAUACA